AAGACGGGCACUCUAAGGGGACUGCCAUCGACAAGAUGGAGGAAGGUGGGGAUGACGUCAAAUCAUCAUGGCCUUUAUGCCCUGGGCUACACACGUGCUACAAUGGGCGGUACAAAGGGAAGCGAAGGGGCGACCUGGAGCAAAUCCCAAAAAGCCGCUCUCAGUUCGGAUUGCAGGCUGCAACUCGCCUGCAUGAAGGCGGAAUUGCUAGUAAUCGCGGAUCAGCAUGCCGCGGUGAAUACGUUCCCGGGCCUUGUACACACCGCCCGUCACACCACGAAAGCCGGUAACACCCGAAGUCAGUGGCCUAACCCG
rnacentral:rRNA from 1 species